CCUACGGGGGGCUGCAGUAGGGAAUAUUGGGCAAUGGACGCAAGUCUGACCCAGCCACGCCGCGUGAAGGAUGACUGCCCUAUGGGUUGUAAACUUCUUUUGUAUGGGAAGAAACCUCCGAACGUGUUCGGAGCUGACGGUACCAUAAGAAUAAGCAUCGGCUAACUCCGUGCCAGCAGCCGCGGUAAUACGGAGGAUGCAAGCGUUAUCCGGAUUCAUUGGGGCGAAGGGGUGGGAAGACGUAGGAGUAGAAAGCUCGCAGCUUAACUGUGAAAGUGCCAUUGAAACUGAUUUUCUUGAGUUCGAUUGAGGUAGAUGGAAGGUAUCAUGUAGCGGUGAAAUGCUUAGAUAUGAUACAGAACACCAAUUGCGAAGGCAGUCUACUAAGUCGAUACUGACGCUGAGGCACGAAAGCAUGGGGAGCAAACAGGAUUAGAUACCCCAGUAGUC
rnacentral:rRNA from 1 species